rnacentral:tRNA from 1 species
GUGAUUAUAGUUCAAGGGAAGAACAUCCGGUUGUGAGCCGGAAAAUUUGGGUUCGAAUCCCAAUAUUCACCCC